CUUCAUCGAGGCAAUUCACCUCCUCCCGAGCCGCGGUCCGACAGACAGCCCUCCUCCUCGCAGGCUGUCGGUCACUAUUGAAGCCCGGCGCACUUCGUCCGGCGCCGGGCUUUGUCG
rnacentral:sRNA from 1 species